rnacentral:rRNA from 1 species
GACGAACGCUGGCGGCGUGCCUAAUACAUGCAAGUCGAACGCAGUUGCGAACGGGUGAGUAACGCGUAGGUAACUGCCUCAUCGCGGGGGAUAACUAUUGGAAACGAUAGCUAAUACCGCAUACUGUGAGAUGGACCUGCGUUGUAUUCGCUAGUUGGUGAGGUAAAGGCUCACCAAGGCGACGAUACAUAGCCGACCUGAGAGGGUGGACGGCCAAACUGGGACUGGGAACCGGCCCCGACCCCUACGGGAGGCAGCAGUAGGGGAUCCUCGGAAAUGGGCGGAAGGCUGACCGAGCAACGCCGCGGGAGGGAAGAAGGGUUUCGGAUCGUAAAGCUCUGUUGUUAGAGAAGCGGUAUCUAACCAGAAAGGGACGGCUAACUACGUGCCAGCAGCCGCGGUAAUUC